GGGCCUGUAGCUCAGCAAGGCAGAGCGCCGGGCUUUUAACCCGGGGGUCAGGGGUUCAAAUCCCCUUAGGCCCG
rnacentral:tRNA from 1 species